rnacentral:lncRNA from 1 species
UGGCCUUCUUCUCAUCCCUUACUUUCUUUUCUUCAUAAAUCUUUUAAAUUUAUGAGUGAUGAGGGUCAAUUCUUCAUCUUCAUCAUCAUCUUUGGUAUAGUCAGAUUCCUCCCCUUGGUGGAUAGUGGACUUUAGAGCUAUUGUCUUUUUCUUCUUAACCUCUUCUUCAUUGUGCUAUCUCAUACUCAAUUUAUGAGUCAUGAGUGAUCCUAGAAGCUCUUCCAAGGAU